rnacentral:lncRNA from 1 species
AUCCAAUCUCUCUCCUCUGCUGCGUAAUGAAAUGAGGAAAAAAAUCAGGGGCACCAAAAAAUUAAUUUCCCAUCUUCCACUCCCUUAUGUCCGAUUUUUCAAUUUGUAUAUCACAUCCUAAAAUCCGGCCUCCAUCUCCGGUAGUGGUGCAGCUCCGGCAACCGUGUAGCUCCGACAGUAAAGUCCAAUCUCCAUCCCGUCGCCUUCAAUCUUCCUUGUUGAUUUUGUAUUUGAAUAUUUGAUCUCAAUGGCUUCUUGGGGAUUUCUUAGUCUGUUCAUACAGUUCAUUGAAGGUUAAGAUUUGUUUUUUGUAGUUGGUUUAUUCUUCAAGCAUGAUUUUGGUUUAUGUUGAUAUUUAUAUUGGAUAUUUCUUAGUCCGAAAAGUACAAAAAAU